CGGACGGGUGAGUAAUGUCUGGGAAACUGCCCGAUGGAGGGGGAUAACUACUGGAAACGGUAGCUAAUACCGCAUAACGUCGCAAGACCAAAGAGGGGGACCUUCGGGCCUCUUGCCAUCGGAUGUGCCCAGAUGGGAUUAGCUGUAGGUGGGGUAACGGCUCACCUAGGCGACGAUCCCUAGCUGGUCUGAGAGGAUGACCAGCCACACUGGAACUGAGACACGGUCCAG
rnacentral:rRNA from 1 species